GCCAGCUGCAGGCAGCUGCCUAGAUUUCCUUGUAUCUAGGCAAGUGUCACACAGCUGGGAGAACAGCAGCCAGUGGCUGGUUGACAUUCUGAGCCUGGUUCAUGCCAAAUCUGUUGUUAACUAUU
rnacentral:snoRNA from 1 species